UCAUAUGUUGACCUUUGCCCUCAGGA
rnacentral:piRNA from 1 species